AGGUACGUGGCUUGCCAUGGUUGCAACGGGUGACGGAGAAUUACGGUUCGAUUCCGGAUAGGGAGCCUGAGAAACGGCUACCACAUCCAACGAAGGCAGCAUGCGCGCAAAUGACCCAAUCCCGACUCGGGGAGGUACUGACAAACAAUAACAAUACAGGGCUUUUCAAGUCCAGUAAUCGGAAUGAGUACAAUUCAAAUCUCUUAACGAGGAACAAUUGGAGGGCAAGUCUGGUGCCAGCUAGCCGCGGUCAUCCAGCCCAAUAGCGUAUACUAGUAGUUGUUGGCAGUUAAAAAGCUCGUCGUUCGAUUUCAUAGGCGGCGCGGUUGCUCAGCCGCCGGUCAAGCUAUGUUCCCGCCGGCGCUGUUCUUAAUUGCCAAGACGACGUAUACUCUCAAUUGAGUGUGGCUAGAAUUGACGACGCUUACCUUGAUCGCAUUAGAAUGCACAAGCCUGGCAUGAGCGUGAAUACAUAAGCAUGGAAUAAUGGAAUAGGACUGGGACCUAAUUUAGUAGGUAUAUAGACCCGAAGGGACAAUUGAUAGGGACAGUCGGGGGCAUUAGUAUUGCAUUGUCAGAGGUCGAAUUCAUGCAUUUACGUUAGACGAGCUAUAUUCGCAAGCAUCUGCCACGAAUGUUUUCAUUUCUCAAGCACGCAAAUUAGAUGAUUCGAAGACGAUCAGA
rnacentral:rRNA from 1 species